rnacentral:rRNA from 1 species
UGGGGAAUUUUGGACAAUGGGCGCAAGCCUGAUCCAGCAAUGCCGCGUGAGUGAAGAAGGCCUUCGGGUUGUAAAGCUCUUUUGUCAGGGAAGAAACGGUGGACUCUAAUACAGAUCACUAAUGACGGUACCUGAAGAAUAAGCACCGGCUAACUACGUGCCAGCAGCCGCGGUAAUACGUAGGGUGCAAGCGUUAAUCGGAAUUACUGGGCGUAAAGCGUGCGCAGGCGGUUUGGUAAGACAGAUGUGAAAUCCCCGGGCUCAACCUGGGAAUUGCAUUUGUGACUGCCCGGCUAGAGUGUGUCAGAGGGGGGUAGAAUUCCACGUGUAGCAGUGAAAUGCGUAGAGAUGUGGAGGAAUACCGAUGGCGAAGGCAGCCCCCUGGGAUAACACUGACGCUCAUGCACGAAAGCGUGGGGAGCAAACAGGAUUAGAUACCCUGGUAGUCCACGCCCUAAACGAUGUCUACUAGUUGUUGGGUCUUAAUUGACUUAGUAACG